rnacentral:lncRNA from 1 species
UGCAGUGACGCAAACGCUGGCGAGGGGAGCAAGCUCCAUGCGUCAGUUCCCGCCAAAUUGUAGCUCUUUCGAGCGAGGACGUACUGACUGAAACACU